GGAAAAUCUUGUAAUCGGGUACGAGUGGUUCGCUUGCAGACCAAUCUGAAAUGAUAAGUUGGAGCAACACCUCUCUAAUAUCAUAAAAGAUGUAUCUUCAUGGCAAAGUCCUUGUAGCUCUUGAUGGCUCUCUCUUUGGCUAUGAUCUUGGAGUUUCUGGGAUUAUUGUUACAAAAAAUGUAUACAUCUUUUCUUACAAUUCCUUGAGGUCAGCAACUAGGAAUUUUCAUCCAUCAAGCAAAAUAGGUGCUAGAGGCUAUGGAGUUGUCUACAAAGUGAGACCAAUGUUGUUAUUCUUAUGAAUCUCUCAUGUAAUUUCUUCCCUAAAGGUACCUUUCCCAUAUUAAUUCUGAUGCAUUUUCAUCUGCCAUUGAUAUGAUGAAAAUGUAAUAAUGGAAUAUCCCUUGUUUAAGGAUUGUAUUGACCUCAAUCUAUGUUUCAAAUGUCUUGUAUUCUUGUAUCAUUCUUAACUGAAUAUUUUGUAUUAUAUGUUGAAGUGAGGAUAGUAGUUCUUCCCUCAAUUCGGAAGUUGGGUGAAACAAUCUUGUUCUUCUCAUUAUUCUUGAAUCUUGAUGAUUU